UACAGAGGUCCCAAGCGUUGUUCGGAUUCAUUGGGCGUAAAGGGUGCGUAGGCGGCGCGGUAAGUCGGGUGUGAAAUCUCGGAGCUUAACUCCGAAACUGCAUUCGAUACUGCCGUGCUUGAGGACUGGAGAGGAGACUGGAAUUUACGGUGUAGCGGUGAAAUGCGUAGAUAUCGUAAGGAAGACCAAUGGCGAAGGCAGGC
rnacentral:rRNA from 1 species